rnacentral:rRNA from 1 species
GGCAGCAGUGGGGAAUUUUGGACAAUGGGGGCAACCCUGAUCCAGCCAUUCCGCGUGAGUGAAGAAGGCCUUCGGGUUGUAAAGCUCUUUCGCAAGAGAAGAAAUCUUACUAUCGAAUAAAUAGUAAGGAUGACGGUAUCUUGACAAGAAGCACCGGCUAACUACGUGCCAGCAGCCGCGGUAAUACGUAGGGUGCGAGCGUUAAUCGGAAUUACUGGGCGUAAAGCGUGCGCAGGCGGUUUUAUAAGUCAGAUGUGAAAUCCCCGAGCUCAACUUGGGAACUGCGUUUGAAACUGUAAGACUAGAGUGUGUCAGAGGGGGGUAGAAUUCCACGUGUAGCAGUGAAAUGCGUAGAUAUGUGGAGGAAUACCAAUGGCGAAGGCAGCCCCCUGGGAUAACACUGACGCUCAUGCACGAAAGCGUGGGGAGCAAACAGGAUUAGAUACCCUGGUAGUCCACGCCCUAAACGAUGUCUACUAGUUGUUGGUGGAGUAAAAUCCAUGAGUAACGCAGCUAACGCGUGAAGUAGACCGCCUGGGGAGUACGGUCGCAAGAUUAAAACUCAAAGGAAUUGACGG